AGAGAGGAGAGAGAGAGAGAGAGAGAGGGGGGGAAGUGAGUAGAGAAAGAGAGAAAGCUCGGAGGUAGCCGAGCUCCUCUAAUGGCGAAAUCGAAGACGAAGCAUCUCUCGUACAUCUCCUUCCUCUCUCAGAUCAUCCCCGCGCUCUCUUACACCACCCUCUAAUCGCUCGUCUUCUCCCCUAAGAAGCUCCUCUCCUCCUCCGCCUCCUCCCGAUUUCGGAUCAAUCGCAUCGUCUCCUCGAGCCCUAGGAUCCUCCUCCUUCUCCUAGCCCUAGCUUUCCUCGGAACCCUCCGCCUCGGCCCGGUAAUCCCCUUCUCCCCCAUCCCCUGCUCCCAGGACGGCGUGCGAUCGUCGUCGUCAUCGUCCUCAUUUCCGGCGGCGGAGGGGGAGUUUUGGAGGCAACCGGAUGGGAUGGGGUACCGGCCGUGCCUGAGCUUCAGCGAGGAGUACCGGGGGGAGCCGCCGGAGGGUCGCCGGAAGUACCUGCUGGUCGUCGUCGCCGGCGGGCUCAACCAACAAAGCAACCAAAUCGUCGGCGCCAUCGCCAUCGCCCGCAUCCUCGGCGCCGCCCUCGUCGUCCCCAUCCUCCAAGUUAACGUCGUCUGGGGCGACAAGAGUGGCCAAUUUUUUCAGGACAUUCGAUCACAGUUGGAAAAUGACUUCAUGAAAUCACUGCAGGCUGAGGUAACAGAUGAUUAUGAAGCGGAAGCUAUUAGACCAUUGUCAUGGUAUCCAGGGAACGUUGCAUGGCAUUUGAACUUUUCUCGUAUGCAACUUAGGAAGAACCAGGCACUUGAGAGAUUCCAUGAGUUUUUAAAGCAAGAGAAUGAGAUUGGAAACAUAACAAGGCAAGAGGCUAUCAGCAUGGUUCCUCCACUUUUCCUUGAUGUACUACCGGAUCACCACAUUCUUGACAAUCGGCGUUGACAAUGGCUGAGAAUCGUCUGCUUCUGGUACUUGGCAAAAACAGUACUUUGCAAAAACAGAUGAAGAUAAGGUGAAUAGACGAAUGUUCUAUUUUUUUCUCUAAUGCCUACUCUUCGCACGUGCAAUUGCCAAAUUACAUAACCGCAGAAUAUAUGCACGACUACCCAAUUCGGCAUAUUGUAUUUUGUUAAUUGCAAGCAAAACGACCAUUCCAUUCUGCAUUUUCCGGUGCUGGUAUGAUGUGAUCUUCCUUUCUAUUUUAGUUUCUUUACUUACCUUACUUUUAGUUUUUCUUUAUAAUAUUUAGGAUUUAUUUAGUUGAGUAAAUUUCAUAUAGUCUUUUAGAAAUUAAUUGAAAUUUGGAUAUUAAUCAAGAAAAGAUAUUGACUUUCAUAUUUGUUUAGUUCUAUUAUAGAUUUAUGAUCUAAUUUAUUUAUUAUGAGUGAGAACCAAAAAUAUUGUGGUGU